AAAAUUAAAAAAAAAAAAAAGAACGUAAAUAUAUCUGUCCUCUUCCAUGACAACUAAAGUUUGAGACACAAACACAUAAGAGAUCCCCCUUAAAUCAAGUUCCACAAGGCUCUUCCUAGUAAUGAAAAGACAAUAAACCACCCAUGAAUUUAACGACAAUGUAGUUAUAGAAAAAUGAUAAAUGUUAAAAAAAAAAAAAGAUUAUAUUUGACAUCUAGUUAGAAUGUGAAUACUGAUGAAAUUAUCAGAUUUACAUUACAUAUGGACUCCUACACCCAGAAAAUCAACUUAUUGAAAACCAAAAUACUGAUGAUGCAAAGUAUUACAUGUAUUAACUAAAGUAUAGCAAUUGGUCUGUUGUCUUCAAUAAUCAUUAUCGCAUGUGAUAAUCAUUAUCGCUAAAGUUGCUAAUGAUACAUGAAACUAAAUGGUAUAGUAUGACCUUAGCUGGAAAUAAACAUGUGAUAAUCGUUAUCACUAUUCAUUGGCAAUUAAGAAGCCAAAACCUUCCUGAUGUGAUGGCCUCACAUGUCUGUAGUACUGACAUACCGUGGAAAGCACCACACUUCAUUUACACGAAAUAUAUUCACAAAAACCAAAAAACCAAGGAUGAAUCUAUGUUUCUUUUUCUUCAU
rnacentral:misc_RNA from 1 species